rnacentral:rRNA from 1 species
UACGUAGGGACCGAGCGUUGUCCGGAUUCAUUGGGCGUAAAGAGCUCGUAGGCGGCUGUUCAAGUCGAACGUGAAAACUCGGAGCUCAACUCCGAGCCUGCGUUCGAUACUGGACGGCUAGAGUCUGGUAGGGGGAUCUGGAAUUCCUGGUGUAGCGGUGGAAUGCGCAGAUAUCAGGAGGAACACCGGUGGCGAAGGCGGCCCUCUGGACGGUGACUGACGCUGAGACGCGAAAGCGUGGGGAGCAAACAGG